CCGUCGCGGGCGUAGGAAAUUUGAGAGGAUCUGCUCCUAGUACGAGAGGACCAGAGUGGACUUACCGCUGGUGUACCAGUUGUCUUGCCAAAGGCAUCGCUGGGUAGCUAUGUAGGGAAGGGAUAAACGCUGAAAGCAUCUAAGUGUGAAACCCACCUCAAGAUGAGAUUUCCCAUGAUUUUAUAUCAGUAAGAGCCCUGAGAGAUGAUCAGGUAGAUAGGUUAGAAGUGGAAGUGUGGCGACACAUGUAGCGGACUAAUACUAAUAGCUCGA
rnacentral:rRNA from 1 species